UAUCUUUACUUCAUACCAAUUAUUUUAAACAUAUUCUGGUAAGCGAUACAGGCCCUCUGGGCCUCUUGUAAGAAAUUGAAUCUUGAGAAUGUAUGUUAGUGAUAUUAAUUGUCUGAAGUAUUUUGUUUAGAAGGCAGAUGUUCUGCCUGGGAAACCUUCUGUCUGGGAGGUGAAAUGGUUGAUGACCGUUGUAUACCUGUUAAUAUUGUUAAAGGGAUCAACAGAUUGUGCUUUCAUUGCUAAUGUUUGUGAUUAUGUGGUGUAACUGUUAUCUAUGUAACUAUUACCUGUGUAACUGUUACCUGUGGUCUGUUCUGUUUGCCUUUUGUCAUUCAGUAAUGAGCUGCUUACUCAGUGUUUACCAAAUAGUGUUUCUUACUGUAUAUCUUUGUGAUUGGUUGUCUAUGCAAAUUAAAUGGAAGAAUAUUUAAUUACCUCCCCUUACAAAAAUGUACUCAUUAGAUAUAUGUAUGUAGCAUGAAAUAUGCACUAAUUUAACAGUUGAUAUUUUUUCAUCAAACCAAUUUUGUGGAAAGGGGAAAAUAUAAUGGCUAAGAUCCAUUUUGAAUAAGUAAUUUUGUAAAAUUUCAUGGCAAUACAAAUAUAAGCACGUCACACGUGUUGCUAGACAAUUCAAUAAUAAUGUUAUAUCAUUUUCAUUUUGUAUUUAAACUUCAAAUUUUACAAAGAUUGAAUAUGUUAUUGUAUCAUUUCUAAAUGAAGAUAUUUAAAAGUUUUUCAGCAAAGGGAAGUUACCUUGGUAUGAGAUUUUCUAUUAUAUAAUGUUAUAAAAGUUUCCCAAUUGUUUGAAUCUGGGAUAUAGCUCAUCCUAGUGAUCUAUUGUCCUGUAACCAGCACUGAAGGAACUCAUUGUAGGGACUAGUUAAGACAAGGAAUACGAUAUAUAUGUUUUCCUAAGUAUAAAACCAAAACCAAAAAUAAAACCAUAUGCUUGCCAAAGAGGAUUUUAUUUGUAUACUGAAGUGUGGCAAGAGUUAGUUUACUAUCAUAAUACUAUUGGUACAUACAUUAUAGAACAUUAAAUGGACUAAUGUCUACAUUUUGACACUUUGUAUUACUAGAUUAGUUAUGAUGAUUUUCAUUUAUUGUAAUAUAAAGUUACAAUACAAAAUACUUAGGAAACUGUGUUGCUGGUUGCAGCAGUGCUUUUCUACCACAGAAAAUAUAAACCAGUUUUACAUCAUAUAUUAUUUGGAGAUUGGCUUAUCAUAGGAUGAAAGAUAUCUGAAAAACAGUAAGAAUGUGUGAGUGUGUUGGAGAUCCUCUCCGGGUAUUUAUGUCUGUAUAAUCUUCCUCAUUUCAUGUCAUCAAGUCGUCGUCAUCAUCCUAGCCUGCCUCACUUCAUGUCAUCAAGUCUGAUAGCCUCCUCUCAGCCUACCUCACUUCAUGUCAUCAAGUCUGUAACCCUCCUCUCAGCCUGCCUCACUUCAUGUCAUCAAGUCUGUAACCCUCCUCUCAGCCUUCUUCACUUCAUGUCAUCAAGUCUGUCAACCUCCUCUCAGCCUGCCUCACUUCAUGUUUUCAAAUCUGUCACCCUCCUCCCAGCCUUCCCCACUUCAUGUCAUCAAGUCUGUAACCCUCCUCUCAGCCUGCCUCACUUCAUGUCAUCAAGUUUGUAACCCUCCUCCCAGCCUGCCUCACUUCAUGUCAUCAAGUCUGUCAACCUCCUCUCAGCCUGCAUCACUUCAUGUUUUCAAAUCUGUCACCCUCCUCCCACCCUUCCUCACUUCAUGUCAUCAAGUCUGUAACCCUCCUCUCAGCCUGCCUCACUUCAUGUCAUCAAGUCUGUAACCCUCCUCUCAGUCUGCCUCACUUCAUGUCACCAUGUAUGUCACCCUCCUCUCAGCCUGCCUCACUACGUGUCAUCAAGUUGAUACCCUCCUCUUAGCCUGCCUCACUUUAUGUCAUCAAGGUUGUCACCCUCCUUUCAGCAUGCCCCACUUCGUGUCAUCAAGUCAUUCAGCCUCCUCUCAGCCUUCUUCACUUCAUGUCACCAAAUAUGUCACCUUCCUCUCAGCCUGCCCCACUUCGUGUCAUCAAGUCAGUCACCCUUCUUUCAGCAUGCCCCACUUAAUGACAUCAAGUCAUUCAGCCUCCUUUCAGCAUGCCCAACUUCAUGUCAUCAAGUAUGUCACCUUCCUCUCAGCCUGCCCCACUUCAUGUCAUCAAGUCAUUCAGCCUCCUCUCAGCCUGCCCCACUUCGUGUCAUCAAGUAUGUCACCCUCCUCUCAGCCUGCCCCACUUCAUGUCAUCAAGUCAGUCAGCCUGCCUCACUUCAUAUCAUUAAGUUAAAUGAAUGAGGUGUGACUUUAUAGAUUGUACAGAAACUUGUUUGACUUUAUACAUCUGACAGUUUCAAAAUAUGUAAGUGCAAAAGUCUUGAUUUGAUCAAACUUGUUGAUGUGUAUUUGUUUUAGUGUUAAGCAAAUCAUGCAUUGUAUAUGUAAACCCUACAUAGUUUAAGUGGAUAAUACAGAGACCCAGUAAUUCAAAGUUCUGUCAUCUUAAAGGUACUUAUGAGUUAGGUGUUCGUUUAUAUUGAAAAUAAAAAUGGAACAUUUUGUUGCAUUUCAGAAAAAUAAAAAGGAAGAAGAAUAGCUUGAAAUACUUUGAACCAACAUGCUAAGUUUACAGAGCUUUGAAUAAGGGGUCAUUAUAUUAUAUGUUGGAGGGUCAUUUAUGAUGUAUAAUUGUAUAUAAUAAGUGUACCCCAUUUUCAUGAUUAAUGAAAGUUGUUAUUGAGAUCAUCAGGUGCCAUAUGGAGAGCCUUGUUUCAAAAUUGCUUGUUAUUUUCACAUUUUAUUUUUCCUAUGUUCGUUUUGCACAGCCCUUUGCAUGACAAAAUAUUUGAAAAAAUAUGUUUGUAGCUUGUAACUCUACCUUGGACCAUCCUUUUGAUUUUCGCCUCGUUCUUCACAUCACAUCUUUUGUCAUUUCUGCCAUUUUAAUAUCUUUUUGCAAAAUGCACUUUAAAAAUAUCUGUAUAUAUAUAUAUAAUCAUAUUUGUGCUUAUUAACAAAAACCAAAGUCAGCAGUUUUGAAACAAGGGUUACCAUGGUAACUAAUGGGAAAUUGUGCCAAGUGUUAUUUUUGGUACUGUAUGAUAGACGUGCAAUACCUUCUAGCUAUAUAGACAUGUCAGUGAUAGGUUCAUCUGUUAGUGGUUCCACGUUCAUAGCUAUAUAGACAUGUCAGUGAUAGGUUCAUUUGUUAGUGGUUCCACGUUCUAGCUAUAUAGACGUGUCAGUGAUAGGUUCAUCUGAUAGUGGUUCCACGUUCAUAGCUAUAUAGACAUGUCAGUGAUAGGUUCAUCUGUUAGUGGUUCCACGUUCAUAGCUAUAUAGACAUGUCAGUGAUAGGUUCAUCUGUUAGUGGUUCCAUGUUCAUAUUUUAAUAGAAUUUAUUUUUGUUGUUGCCAUGACUGCAAAUAUCCAUUUUGUAGAUCGCAUAAUUUUGAAAUAAUUCAGAAUAAAGGUAAUUCUUUGAAAUUG